rnacentral:rRNA from 1 species
AUUGAACGCUGGCGGCAUGCUUUACACAUGCAAGUCGAACGGCAGCGCGGGGCAACCUGGCGGCGAGUGGCGAACGGGUGAGUAAUAUAUCGGAACGUACCCAGAAGUGGGGGAUAACGUAGCGAAAGUUACGCUAAUACCGCAUACGAUCUACGGAUGAAAGUGGGGGACCUUCGGGCCUCAUGCUUUUGGAGCGGCCGAUAUCUGAUUAGCUAGUUGGUGAGGUAAAGGCUCACCAAGGCGACGAUCAGUAGCUGGCUGAGAGGACGACCAGCCACACUGGGACUGAGACACGGACCAGACUCCUACGGGAGGCAGCAGUGAGGAAUAUUGGACAAUGGGCGCAAGCCUGAUCCAGCCAUGCCGCGUGCAGGAAGAAGCAUCUAUGGUGUGUAAACUGCUUUUGUACGGGAAGAAACACUCCUACGUGUAGGAGCUUGACGGUACCGUAAGAAUAAGGAUCGGCUAACUCCGUGCCAGCAGCCGCGGUAAUC